AACGUAGGUGGCAAGCGUUAUCCGGAUUUACUGGGCGUAAAGCGUGCGCAGGCGGUUUGCUAAGACAGGUGUGAAAUCCCCGGGCUUAACCUGGGAACUGCGCUUGUAACUAGCAGGCUAGAGUGUGGCAGAGGGGGGUGGAAUUCCAGGUGUAGCAGUGAAAUGCGUAGAUAUCUGGAGGAACACCGAUGGCGAAGGCAGCCCCCUGGGCUAACACUGACGCUCAUGCACGAAAGCGUGGGGAGCAAACAGG
rnacentral:rRNA from 1 species